ACGACUACAUUAGAUACCCCCGUAGUCCUAGCCGUAAACGAUACUCGCUAGGUGUCGGCCACGGUGCGACCGUUGUCGGUGCCGUAGGGAAGCCGUGAAGCGAGCCACCUGGGAAGUACGGCCGCGAGGCUGAAACUUAAAGGAAUUGGCGGGGAGCACCACAACGGGUGGAGCUUGCGGUUUAAUUGGAUUCAACGCCGGAAAUCUUACCGGGACCGACAGCAACAUGAAGGCCAGGCUGAAGACUUUGCCGGAUUAGCUG
rnacentral:rRNA from 1 species